ACUGACGUACACUUUAUUGAAACAAGUGUUCUUGCUAAAUCUGGCGCGUCACGAUAAUAAGUCGAGUAAAUUGGUAUGGACGUUCGUGCAUACGUUUCGAAUAUACAGCAACGUGUUACAGAUAAUUCGUAUGGUUGAAAAUAAAUAACAAAUUACACACGAACCAGUGGACAACGGUCAGGCUGGCUCGAUCACGUGAAACGAAGAUACGAGCACAAGCGUAAAUAACUGGCAACUGGAUAGAAUAGCAAUUUCGAGUGACGUCGGCGUGUCGCGCACCUGAAACCGGCAACGCCCUGCCAACGUCAUCGUACGCGAUCAUCGUCGUGGCUCGUCAUCUAACUUUAUGUUGCAUCUGACGUCACUCGAAUAACUCAAACGGCAUCAGCGACGCGGCA